CGCAUGAAACACUAGCCGUCAUCCCUAACCUUCCCACCCUUCUUCUCUCCUUCUCCCUCACUCCGCACGGCUACAGCAGCCCAGCCACACCGCAGGCCACGUGAACCUCCCCACGAACACCACCAUCAGCCGGCAGCCAUCCAUGUAAUAGCACCCCAGCGUCCUCCCUCCCAGCAGCAGCCACGGCUGCGUUUUGCCCCCCAACAGCAGCAGGCUGCUGUGACGCCAAGUGUAGCACCACCACGCAACUUUCCUCCACCAUCACACACGGUGGGUCUUAUCACCACAAGAACCACCAACCCUUUGACCCAUUUCCCAGUUCCACCCAUUGUUAAACUGAAUUUUACUUCAAAUAGGGUUUUAAUGCACAUAUGGGUUCUCUGAUCUCCAUUAUACUAGAAAUUGCAUUGCUAAUUUUGAAAUAAACGAAUUUAGAGGUGAUAAAAUGGAUUCAAAUAUUUUGCAGACUGAAUUACAUCAUUCCCUUCCUGGCAAGCUAAUGUUCACCCAAAAUAUAUGUCACAAAAUAAAGCUGGGCGAAACAUAUUUGAAUAUGUCUAGGGUAUAUGUCAAAAUGCAUUUUGUGUCAGCUAUUCACUCAAGAAAACCUCCUAAGUAUCUCCGCUAUCCACGUCGAACCAAGAUUCCUCCUGAUUUUGGGGUUGAUACAUAUAUGAAACCAAGGAAGGAGGUCAUGGACAACUCUGAUAUAGAUGUGCAUAUUGACUGGAGAUCUGGUGAUCCAGAUGAAGGAGUUUCUUUCAAUGAUGAGAUAGAUGAUGAAGUUGAAGAUAAGGUUGAAUAUGAUGUUUGGGACCCUGAUGAAAUUGAAGCAAUAUCAUCUCUAUUUCAAGGAAGAAUUCCUCAAAAACCCGGGAAAUUGAAUCGGGAAAGGCCACUUCCACUUCCUCUUCCACACAAAAUUCGACCACUGAGACUCCCAGCGACAAGGAAGCAUGUUGGGAGUUCUUCACCUGCAGCGCUCUCAAGACAAGCUCUGUCCAAGAAAAUACACAAGGAUCCAGUUUUCUUGCUCAAUUUGGCUAGACAAAUUAAAAGCCUUCCUGCUGAAGUGAAUGUUUCUUCUAUUCUCAACAAAUGGGGUAGAUUUCUACGUAAGGGAUCCUUGUCUUUGACCAUUCGAGAAUUGGGUCAUAUGGGCCUUCCAGAUCGAGCUCUGCAGACGUUUUGUUGGGCACAGGAACAACCCCACCUAUUUCCAGAUGAUCGUAUUCUUGCUUCUACAGUUGAAAUUUUGGCAAGAACGCACGACCUGAAACUGCCCUUUGAUCUGGAAAAAUUCACUAGUUUGGCUAGUCGAAAUGUUUUAGAAGCAAUUGCUAGGGGCUUUAUUAAAGCGGGAAGCUUGAAUCUUGCAUGGAAGCUUCUUUCUGCGGCAAGACGUUGUAAAAGAAUGUUGGAUUCCAGUAUCUAUGUCAAGUUGCUAUUGGAGCUUGGGAAAAACCCUGAUAAGUAUGACUUUGUUGUAGCUUUACUGGAAGAGCUUAGCGAGCGAGACAGUCUGAACAUAAGCCUGCAGGACUGUACUGCAAUUAUGAAAGUUUGUGUUAGACUUGGGAAUUUUGAUUUUGUGGAAUCCUUGUUUGAGUGGUGUCUUCAGUCCAAGAACCAGCCGAGUGUUGUUAUGUAUACGACAGUGAUUUAUUGCCGUUUGUGUGCAAAAAAUUAUAGGGAGGCAUUGACUUUGAUUUGGGAAAUGGAGCACUUGAAUUAUUGCUUUGAUAUGCCGGCAUUCAGGGUGUUGAUUAAGCUAUUUUUUGCUCUGAAUGACCUCCCAAGGGCAGCGAGAUAUUUUUCUAAGAUGAAGGAAGCUGGCUUUUCUCCAACAUAUGAUAUCUAUCGUGAUAUGAUCAGUAUGUACCUGUUAUCUGGAAGGUUUGCUAAGUGCAAAGAGGUUUGCAAGGAGGUAGAGUUGGCAGGAUUCAAAUUGGAUGCUGAAUUGAGGUCUCAGUUGUUGCAACUGGAUCGAUAAAACAUGUUAGAUUAAAAGACCAUGGCUACACGGAUCUUGCAGGAGGCUAUGUCCAUGCGUUAACACAAUGCAUAAUCGAAAAUAUGUCUCAUAAAAGUUUACUUCUCCAUUUCCCAACAUUGUUACUGCUGCCGUGCUUCUGGUUCCAUAGUAUCCCUGUGCAUCAUAUGAUACAAUAGAUUAGAUAAGCUGACCACCUUUCAUUUUGUGAAGGGAGGA